UACAGAGGUCUCAAGGCGUUGUUUCGGAUUCAUUGGGCGUAAAAGGGGUGCGUAGGCGGCGCGGUAAGUACGGGUGUGAAAUCUUGGAGCUUAACGUCCGAAACUGCAUUCGAUACUGCCGUGCGUUGAGGACUGGAGAGGAGACUGGAAUUUACGGUGUAGCGGUGAAAUGCGUAGAUAUCGUAAGGAAGACCAGUGGCGAAGGCGGGU
rnacentral:rRNA from 1 species